rnacentral:lncRNA from 1 species
CCUGGCUUCAAGUCCUGCCUCUGCCACAAAAUGGCUGUGUGACCCUGGGUAUGUUUUAUGACCUCUCGGUGGCCCCAGGCAACUCUCUUAAGUUGCAGAGAAGGUGCUGACCUGCAUUGGUAAAGAGAAUUUCUUCAACAGGGAUUUCCCUUUAUGAAUGAAAUGACAGCUCUAAUCCCUAUCCCUAAAUACUACAAAACUUGGAGAAAUUAUCAUGUAUAUGGUGUUUUUCCCUGUUUUCACCUAUUGCUGACAUAUGUGAACUUCCUCAGGACCUUCAAAUAUCUACAGUUCCUAGAGCCCCCAGAAUUCUGCCUGCAAAUGAAAGUCUCUAUUCUUCCCUGUAGGCAGUCCUAUUUGGAAGAGCCUCAAGCUGAGGACCCAACUUCACUAUCCAGCCCUUUCCUUCCCCUCCUCACUGGCUCCACCCUCCACCUGCAGCUACAGGCAAUCUUUGGUUUAGGUAUUCACCUUGCCCAAGCAAUCUUCAAAGUAUAAAAACUGAGAGGGGAGUAGUAGUGGAGAACAAAAUAAGACUCAUUUAUUUUUUUCAAUGAAAAGGAAUAAAGAUUUUUUUGGAAAUGUUGGUUCA